GACGAACGCUGGCGGCAUGCCUAACACAUGCAAGUCGAACGAAGCCUUCGGGCUUAGUGGCGCACGGGUGCGUAACGCGUGGGAAUCUGCCCUUGGGUUCGGAAUAACAGUUAGAAAUGACUGCUAAUACCGGAUGAUGUCUUCGGACCAAAGAUUUAUCGCCCAAGGAUGAGCCCGCGUAGGAUUAGGUAGUUGGUGGGGUAAUGGCCCACCAAGCCGACGAUCCUUAGCUGGUCUGAGAGGAUGACCAGCCACACUGGGACUGAGACACGGCCCAGACUCCUACGGGAGGCAGCAGUGGGGAAUAUUGGACAAUGGGCGAAAGCCUGAUCCAGCAAUGCCGCGUGAGUGAUGAAGGCCUUAGGGUUGUAAAGCUCUUUUACCAGGGAUGAUAAUGACAGUACCUGGAGAAUAAGCUCCGGCUAACUCCGUGCCAGCAGCCGCCGUAAGAC
rnacentral:rRNA from 1 species